UACGGAGGGGGCUAGCGUUGUUCGGAAUUACUGGGCGUAAAGCGCGCGUAGGCGGACCUGCAAGUCGGGGGUGAAAGCCCGAGGCUCAACCUCGGAACUGCCUUCGAUACUGCGGGUCUCGAGUCCGGGAGAGGUGAGUGGAAUUCCUAGUGUAGAGGUGAAAUUCGUAGAUAUUAGGAAGAACACCAGUGGCGAAGGCGGC
rnacentral:rRNA from 1 species